rfam:Giardia intestinalis strain GS GS_B_0198, whole genome shotgun sequence.
GGGACCAUGGUCUAGGGGUAUGAUUCUCGCUUAGGGUGCGAGAGGUCCCGGGUUCAAAUCCCGGUGGUCCCC